rnacentral:rRNA from 1 species
UUAAAUUGAAGAGUUUGAUCAUGGCUCAGAUUGAACGCUGGCGGCAGGCCUAACACAUGCAAGUCGAGCGGUAGCACAGAGAGCUUGCUCUCGGGUGACGAGCGGCGGACGGGUGAGUAAUGUCUGGGAAACUGCCUGAUGGAGGGGGAUAACUACUGGAAACGGUAGCUAAUACCGCAUAACGUCGCAAGACCAAAGUGGGGGACCUUCG